UCCUAAGGUAGCGAAAUUCCUUGUCGGGUAAGUUCCGACCUGCACGAAUGGCGUAACGACUUCCCCACUGUCUCGACCAGGAGCUCGGCGAAAUUGCAGUACGAGUAAAGAUGCUCGUUAAGCGCAGAAGGACGAAAAGACCCCGGGACCUUUACUAUACCUUGGUAUUGGCGUUAGGCGCGGAUUGUGUAGCAUAGGCGGGAGGCUUCGAAGCGGGUGCGCCAGCAUUCGUGGAGCCGCAAGGUGAAAUACCGCUCUGUUCUCGUUUGACGUCUAACCUCGACAAGUCAUCCUUGUCAGGGACAGUGCCUGGCGGGUAGUUCAACUGGGGCGGUUGCCUCCCAAAGAGUAACGGAGGCGCUCAAAGGUCCGCUCAGCCCGGUUGGCAAUCGGGUGUCGAGUGUAAUCGCACAAGCGGGCUUGACUGCGAGGACGACGGUCCGAGCAGGGACGAAAGUCGGAGAUAGUGAUCCGGUGCCGGCGCACGGGCGCGGCAUCGCUCAACGGAUAAAAGGUACCCCGGGGAUAACAGGCUGAUCAUUCCCAAGAGUCCAUAUCGACGGGAUGGUUUGGCACCUCGAUGUCGGCUCGUCGCAUCCUGGGGCUGGAGCAGGUCCCAAGGGUUCGGCUGUUCGCCGAUUAAAGCGGCACGCGAGCUGGGUUCAGAACGUCGUGAGACAGUUUGGUCUCUAUCCUCUGCGCUCGUUGGAAUCCUGAGGAGGCCUGCCCAUAGUACGAGAGGACCUGGGUGGACGAACCUCUGGUAUGCCGGUUGUCGCGCCAGCGGCACGGCCGGUUGGCUACGUUCGGGAGGGAUAACCGCUGAAAGCAUCUAAGCGGGAAGCCUGCUCCAAGAUUAGGAUUCCGUACGGUCUUGAACCGUUGUAGCCCGCAUGUUGAACACGUGUUUGAUAGGCCGGAGGUGGAAGCCCCGUGAGGGGUGGAGCCGACCGGUACUAACGGGCGACGGCGACACAAC
rnacentral:rRNA from 1 species